CCAAAGGCUCUUUUCAGAGCCGCCUACUGUCUCUGCUAAAGAACUG
rfam:Fukomys damarensis contig114729, whole genome shotgun sequence.